rnacentral:rRNA from 1 species
AGAGUUUGAUCCUGGCUCAGGACGAACGCUGGCGGCGUGCCUAAUACAUGCAAGUCGAGCGGACCAAUAGAAAAGCUUGCUUUUCUUGAGGUUAGCGGCGGAUGGGUGAGUAACACGUGGGCAACCUACCUGUAAGACUGGGAUAACUUACGGAAACGUGAGCUAAUACCGGAUAGUUUCACUUCUCGCAUGAGAAGUGAAGGAAAGAUGGCUUCUAGCUAUCACUUACAGAUGGGCCCGCGGCGCAUUAGCUAGUUGGUGGGGUAAAGGCCUACCAAGGCAACGAUGCGUAGCCGACCUGAGAGGGUGAUCGGCCACACUGGGACUGAGACACGGCCCACACUCCUACGGGAGGCAGCAGUAGGGAAUCUUCCGCAAUGGACGAAAGUCUGACGGAGCAACGCCGCGUGAGCGAAGAAGGUCUUCGGAUCGUAAUGCUCUGUUGUUAGGGAAGAACAAGUACCGGAGUAACUGUCGGCACCUUGACGGUACCUAACCAGAAAGCCACGGCUAACUACGUGCCAGCAGCCGCGGUAAUAACGUAGGUGGCAAGCGUUGUCCGGUAUCAUUGGGCGUAAAGCGCGCGCAGGCGGUCCUUUAAGUCUGAUGUGAAAUCU